rnacentral:rRNA from 1 species
GACGAACGCUGACAGAAUGCUUAACACAUGCAAGUCAACUUGAACUUCGGUUUGGGUGGCGGACGGGUGAGUAACGCGUAAAGAACUUGCCUCACAGAUAGGGACAACAUUUGGAAACGAAUGCUAAUACCUGAUAUUAUGAUUAUAUGGCAUCGUAUAAUUAUGAAAGCUAUAUGCGCUGUGAGAGAGCUUUGCGUCCCAUUAGCUAGUUGGAGAGGUAACGGCUCACCAAGGCGAUGAUGGGUAGCCGGCCUGAGAGGGUGAUCGGCCACAAGGGGACUGAGACACGGCCCUUACUCCUACGGGAGGCAGCAGUGGGGAAUAUUGGACAAUGGACCAAGAGUCUGAUCCAGCAAUUCUGUGUGCACGAUGAAGUUUUUCGGAAUGUAAAGUGCUUUCAGUUGGGAAGAAAAAAAUGACGGUACCAACAGAAGAAGUGACGGCUAAAUACGUGCCAGCCGCCGCCGUAAAAC